GGCCGGCCUAAAGAUAGUGGGUUAUCUCAAUUGAUUGUUCACAGUCAGUUGUUACAAACCAAACUCCUUGUUCUGCUCUUUUCCUCUUCUCACUACUGCACUCAACUAAUCUUAA
rnacentral:Y_RNA from 1 species